UACGGGGGAGGCAAGCGUUGUUCGGAUUUACUGGGCGUAAAGGGCGCGUAGGCGGCCACGACAAGUCACUUGUGAAAUCUCCGGGCUUAACUCGGAACGGUCAAGUGAUACUGUCGGGCUAGAGUACAGAAGGGGCAACUGGAAUUCUCGGUGUAGCGGUGAAAUGCGUAGAUAUCGAGAGGAACACCUGCGGCGAAGGCGGGUUGCUGGGCUGAUACUGACGCUGAUGCGCGAAAGCCAGGGGAGCGAACGGG
rnacentral:rRNA from 1 species